GAUGAACGCUGGCGGCGUGCCUAAUACAUGCAAGUCGAGCGGAUGGAAGGAAGCUUGCUUCCUAAAGUCAGCGGCGGACGGGUGAGUAACACGUGGGCAACCUGCCCCUAAGAUCGGGAUAACUUCGGGAAACCGGAGCUAAUACCGGAUAUGAUUAUGUCUCACAUGAGACAUAAUGGAAAGACGGUUUCGGCUGUCACUUAGGGAUGGGCCCGCGGCGCAUUAGCUAGUUGGUGAGGUAACGGCUCACCAAGGCGACGAUGCGUAGCCGACCUGAGAGGGUGAUCGGCCACACUGGGACUGAGACACGGCCCAGACUCCUACGGGAGGCAGCAGUAGGGAAUCUUCCGCAAUGGACGAAAGUCUGACGGAGCAACGCCGCGUGAGUGAGGAAGGUUUUCGGAUCGUAAAACUCUGUUGUUAGGGAAGAACAAGUACCAUAGUAACUGAUGGUACCUUGACGGUACCUAACCAGAAAGCCACGGCUAACUACGUGCCAGCCGCCGCCGUAACAC
rnacentral:rRNA from 1 species